AAUAACAUGACUGCUGUGUGGUAAAUGUUUAAUCACUGGUUUGAUUAAAGGCUGGAUGCCAGCACUAGAGUUCAACCAAGUCCAUGGGUGGGUGGUGCCACUGCUCCCACCAGCUAUGCCCCAUCUGUUCCUUUUAGAGGAGGAGUGGUGUGUGACCCUGGAAGGAAGCAGGAAUAGGUCCAUGUGGCUCUGUGCUUCUAAUAGCCUCCCUCAGGGUGAAAC